UAAGGGACAGAACUUUUAAGUGU
rnacentral:piRNA from 1 species